AUUGAACGCUGGCGGCAGGCCUAACACAUGCAAGUCGAGCGGAUGAAGGGAGCUUGCUCCUGGAUUCAGCGGCGGACGGGUGAGUAAUGCCUAGGAAUCUGCCUGGUAGUGGGGGAUAACGUCCGGAAACGGGCGCUAAUACCGCAUACGUCCUGAGGGAGAAAGUGGGGGAUCUUCGGACCUCACGCUAUCAGAUGAGCCUAGGUCGGAUUAGCUAGUUGGUGGGGUAAAGGCCUACCAAGGCGACGAUCCGUAACUGGUCUGAGAGGAUGAUCAGUCACACUGGAACUGAGACACGGUCCAGACUCCUACGGGAGGCAGCAGUGGGGAAUAUUGGACAAUGGGCGAAAGCCUGAUCCAGCCAUGCCGCGUGUGUGAAGAAGGUCUUCGGAUUGUAAAGCGCUUUAAGUUGGGAGGAAGGGCAGUAAGUUAAUACCUUACUGUUUUGACGUUACCAACAGAAUAAGCACCGGCUAACUUCGUG
rnacentral:rRNA from 1 species